rnacentral:tRNA from 1 species
AGGAUAAUAGUUAAAUUAACAUUUAAUUUGCACUUAAAAAAUAUUGAAUAUUCAAUUUAUCUUA